GCGAAAGCCAAUGAAAUUUAAGCAACAGGAGGAGCUUCCUCCCUUAACUCCAGUUUGGGCGAGUUGCUCAAACCAGAUGAUCUAUUCCAGCCUCCAGACCCGCAGUUUCAUGUAGAUGUUAAACAGCAUUGGAGACAGUAUGGAGCCCAGAGGGACAGCAUACAAAAGUUCAGAUUUUGAAGAGUAACAGUCUCCAAGGGACACCAUCUGGAAUCUGCCUAAGAGGAAGUGAAUCCUCACGUGGGAAUAGAAGAAGGUAUCAUACACGCCCAAGGCUCAGACACAUCACAUGCAGCCCAGCUUUAACAGAGUUUCCAUGUGACAGCUGAUCAGCCCCUAAACUUCUUCCUUUUUGCUCUCCUUUCAGAAGAUUGUUUGGACCCAGAUAUCAACACGAGACCUUCGAGAACAUGACCUUGUGAACGUCUCUCUUUCUUUCUGUCAUAGAUAGCAAUUGGAUGGUCUGUGACCUCUGGAUCAGGCUGGGGGCACAGAGGCUGAUCCACUUUAGCCCUGCUUUGCUCAGCCACUCUAGCAUUUGGAGGAUCUUUGUCUUCUCUUUCUCUUGGAAGGCUCAUUAGGCCUGAUCUCUUUUAGCCUUUUUGCUUUGGCUCCCUAUUUCACCACACUGGAUGCUACAUCACAUCAUUCCUCAGGUCCCUCUAUAGGUUAAGCCCAAGCUCUCGUCCACGCUCCUUUUUAAACUCACAGUCAGCGCCUGAGUCUGUGUUGAGAACUCUUGAUGAAUCCUAGUUCUCGGCACAACACCGGUACGUCUAAAAGUCUGGGCUUGUGAGUCACGGUUAACACUUGGCAGAGUUCUUCAUCCUUUUGCCCUUGGCUGCUGCUUGCUAUUACGCUGGCAAAACUGAGCAGCUUAUUACAAAGACUAAAACACAGCAGUGUGAUAAAAGAAUUUGCACAAUGCAAACUGUUCUGAGCAUCUCAGCAUCACACCCUGUAUGUGCAUUCAUCACCUCAUCAGAUGCAUAUGCCAACAUGAAAGAAGAUGUCACCACACUUCUAUAGGAAAUGCUGUUGUCCUGUAACAUUGCACAGCGGGCCCUCAAGGAAUAUAACACUGAAGUUAAAAGCAAGGUUGCUUGUGCAGUCUUGAUUCAGAUAAAAGAUAUCAGGCAUGAGCUGUAAUAUACACAGCUUAUAAAAAAUAGAUGCUUUUUCUUACAACAUUAAAAAGGACUUGAUUUUUUUUUUUUAAUGCAGUUAAAAUGUGCCUCUUUUAAAAGAAAACCUGAAUUUAAUAAAAACACUUUAUGGUCAACACUAACCAUCUCUUUAAAUGGAAUCCACAGCCCUCUUAUUAAACACACUGGCUGACAUCCAAAUGAAUGAAGCACCUGUUGUAGGUAACACUGGCUAACAUGCUACACAGGCUUAGAAGGGCGGAGCAAGAGCUCUAUCCUCACAAGUAGCCAGGAAGCUAACUGUGCAUGAGGCUUGCCUUGCAAUGCAGUGUGCAGAGAGGGAGAGAUGAUUUUUUUCUCCUCUCCCCUCCAUGCAAAACCCCCUUUUGCAUCCAGGAAUAUGACCACUUGUGAGGAUGGAGCUCUUGCUGUGUUUUCCUUUGAUAAGGACAUUAGACUUUAAGUAAAUGACCUUGUUUUGCAUGGUUACAUGUGCAGGAUGUAAGAGAGAGAGUCCCAAACAAUUCCAUUAAUUUUCAGUGUCCCUGACCAGAUAAUGCUUAAAUGCAGAUGGUGCAUUUGGGCUGCCUGAACAAAGGUUUUAGAUUAUGCUCCUAAAUAAUACAAACUAAGACUGUUUAGUUCAAAACCGGUAUGUCUUAAUGAAACAUCCAGAACCUUACUUAUAGCAAAAUAAAAGUUAUACUCUUUAGAAACUGGAUUUUUCAUUGAAUUGUACUAGGCAAAGAUAUGGGGAAAGCGGAGGGGAGGGGGAAUCUAACAAAACUUUGACUUCUAGAUUGAAGCAGAUUAAACAGCAUAAUAUUAUAUCUUCCAUUCAUGAUACUCAAGGCAAUGUCCACACAGACCCUGAAUUUAUAAAUCAGUAGUUUUUAAAAUUUUAUUCUAAAUUGUAUAGUAGUAGUACAUACAAUACUGAGGUCAAUAUAGAUUGUUUCCUGCAAAAGAUGCAUCUUCCACACAUAAGACAAGAUCAGUCAAAUAAUAUAAAAUGUGUACACAGACACGUACCUACACACACAUGUUUCUAUCAAUCACAUUGAGAUUUUACAUUAUUAAUAAUGUUAAUAUUCAAUUAAUUAAACCAAUGAGUAAAUAAUAGAAAUGAAGGGAAAGAAUUAACUAAAAUUAGAAUAAAUACUUAACACUUUUGAAAAACAAAUAUAUUUCCCCUUUGGCUGGUACAAAAUAAUUGCGCUCAAGAGAAGCUUCCAAUAUAAUAUCCCUGUUGACAGAGCACUGGGCUUCUGUGGAAUUACUGAAAAUCCAGUCUUCUUUCUAAUGAGUUGUACUUGCACACUUCCUUUUUUAUCUUUUAUUUUCUUUCAGAAAUGUAUUACAUGUUAAAAAUGUAAUAUUCUGUCUAG